rnacentral:tRNA from 1 species
GAAGGCUUAGCUCAGCUGGGAGAGCGCCUGCUUUGCACGCAGGAGGUCAGCGGUUCGAUCCCGCUAGUCUCCACCA